AACUAUCAAAACACUUUUUUUUCUUGGGUGUUUUGGACUUUGGGAGUUGCUGGUCUCUGUGAGCCAGCUCUCCUCAAAAGCAUUAGCUUUGGAGACUGCCAGUGUGAUAAUUUUGUUUACACUGACUUCAGUGUCUCUGCUUCUCCUUUUAAUCCUCCU
rnacentral:misc_RNA from 1 species